AUUGAACGCUGGCGGCAGGCCUAACACAUGCAAGUCGAGCGACCGGCGGACGGGUGAGUACUGUCUGGGUACCUGGCUGAUGGAGGGGGAUAACUACUGGAAACGGUAGCUAAUACUGCAUACCAUCAGAUGUGCCCAGAUUGGAUUAGCUAGUAGGUGGGGUAACGGCUCACCUAGGCGACGGUCCCUAGCUGGUCUGAGAGGAUGACCAGCCAAAUUGGAACUGAGAAACGGUCCAGACCCCUACGGGAGGCAGCAGUGGGGAAUAUUGCACAAUGGGCGAAAGCCUGAUGCAGCUAUGCCGCGUGUGUGAAGAAGGCCUUCGGGUUGUAAAGCACUUUCAGUGGGGAGGCGUUACCAGCAGAAGAAGCACCGGCUAACUCCGUGCCAGCAGCCGCGGUAAUAC
rnacentral:rRNA from 1 species